rnacentral:rRNA from 1 species
CUACGUGCCAGCAGCCGCGGUAAUACGUAGGUGGCAAGCGUUGUCCGGAAUUAUUGGGCGUAAAGCGCGCGCAGGCGGAUUGGUCAGUCUGUCUUAAAAGUUCGGGGCUUAACCCCGUGAUGGGAUGGAAACUGCCAAUCUAGAGUAUCGGAGAGGAAAGUGGAAUUCCUAGUGUAGCGGUGAAAUGCGUAGAUAUUAGGAAGAACACCAGUGGCGAAGGCGACUUUCUGGACGAAAACUGACGCUGAGGCUCGAAAGUGUGGGUAUCAAACAGGAUUAGAUACCCUGGUAGUCCACACAGUAAACGAUGUAUACUCGCGGUUUGCGAUAGACAGUAAGCCGCCAAGCGAAAGCAUUAAGUAUACCACCUGGGGAGUACGCCGGCAACGGUGAAACUCAAAGGAAUUGACGGGGGCCCGCACAAGCGGAGGAACAUGUGGUUUAAUUCGAUGAUACGCGAGGAACCUUACCCGGGCUUGAACUAACGGUGACGAAUCUAGAGAUAG